AACGCACCUUGCACUCUUUGGUAUUCCGAAGAGUAUGCCUGUUUGAGUGUCAUGAAAUCUUCAACCAUUCUGUUGGGUGUUUACGCCUGGCGGUUUGGAUUGGACUUGGGUGUUUGUCGGACAAGUAAUUGUCUGACUCACCUUAAAAGGACCAGUGGAUCUAUUGUCUUGGACUUUCGCAUUGCAAUUGGUUUGACUUGGCGUAAUAAGUAUUUCGCUAAGGACAGUGCUUCGGUGCUGGCCAUUGCUUUUCAACCGGACUUUGGAAAUCUGCUUUCAAACCCUAAUUUUAUUUGACAUCUGGCCUCAAAUCAGGUAGGACUACCCGCUGAACUUAA
rnacentral:misc_RNA from 1 species